ACACUGUUAGCCUUUGCUGUAUUUUUUACAGUUAAAUACCACAAAAUGCCCAGUAAAACUACCAUAAGACAUCUUUACAAGUAGUUACUGUAGUUUGCAUUGCAUCAUGGGUAUAGUACAUAGUAUUACAGUAACUUACUGUAUGUUUUGAAGUUACAGUAAUUUACUGUUUACACAUUACAGUAGUGGUACUGUACUUAUAAUAUACAGUAAGAAUUAUAUUUGAUUUCCAACGGUCAUCAUAGCUGCUUCAUCGUGGUUCCCUGUUUCUGUAUUUUUACUCCUUUAGUGGUUAACAUAUUUUUAAGGCAGAAAGACAGCAUGUACUUUUGUUUUUUUCACAUACUAGCUAACAUUAACAUGCAGUUUAUCUAGCUACGUCAUCAAGAGUGGCUUCGCUUCCAACUGUUUUCUGAUGACGUUUGUUUUAAACUCUGAAGCUUUUUCCCUCCAAGUGCAAGUGCAGCUCUGUCUCCGUGCUGUGGGCUCACACUGCUUCAGCUCUUCAAGACAGAUGACCUUUUUUUUUCACUCCCAAGCUUUUUCUCUCCAAGUGGCUGUGCAGUUCUGUCCUGCUGACUGCUAACAUAGCUUCAUCUCUUCAAAAGACAAGACAACAGGUAUGUUCCACCAAGAUGUCUGUUGAAAUGGAAAUGACCUUACCCACUACACCAAGGGUAAUCAUGCUUGGAAAUAGCUUGAUGUCUGCAACCCGGUGGAUGGUCAGUAUGGAGGAGAAGGUAUUUUUCGAGCCUGAGCAACUACAUGACUUUGCCAGCGUCCUUGCUGUCGUUUUUGGGUCAUAUUAUGUCUUCAAUCUGGAGUAUCAGGAGUCAGCAUCCACCACGCUGGAGAUGAUACAAUG